rnacentral:lncRNA from 1 species
UUUUUUGUUUUUUUUUUUUGCUUUUUGUUUUACGGCCACUCCUGUAGCAUAUGGAGGUUCGCAGGCUAGGGGUCGAAUCGGAGCUACAGCUGCCCACCUAUGCCACAGCCACGGCAAUUCCAGAUCUGAGCCGUGUCUGCGACCCACACCACAGCUCCCAGCAAUGCUGGAUCCUUACCCCACUGAGCAAGGCCAGGGAUGGAAACCCACAAUCUCAGGGUUCCUAGUCGGAUUCGUUUCCUCUGAGCCACAACGGGAACCCCUCAAUGGUCAAUUUUAUGUUAUGUGUGUUUCACAAUGAAAAAGAAAGAAAGAAACGCUAACAACACUAUCCACAUCCUCCGAAUCCAUUUAAAUAGUUACACAUGGAGUUCCUGUCAAGGCUCAGUGGAAACGAAUCUGACUAGGAACCCUGAGGUUUCGGGUUUGAUCCCUGGCCUCGCUCAGUGGGUUAAUGAUCUAGCGUUGCCGUGAGCUGUGGUGUAGGUCGAAGACACGGCUCGGAUCUGGCGUGGCUGAUCUGAGCCAUGUCUGCCACCUACACCACAGCUCAUGGCAAUCCCAGAUCCUUAACCCACUGAGCGAGGCCAGGAAUUGAACCCGUGUCCUCAUGGACGCUGGUCAGAUUCAUUUCCACUGAACCACGACAGGAACUCCAGAUCUUCACUUCAGGAGAAGCAGGCAGGGACAGGGCCACCCAGGAGGCUCAGGCAGGCACAUGGUUGGACGCUGAAGGAGCAGGUCCUGUCCUGUCCCGUCUCCUAGCAGCAUUUUUGUUGGGGGGGUGGGGAUGGGGGAGAUGCUAAUCUGGAGAGGAGCAAAGUGAAACAGAUUCAGAAUUACUAAACAUUUCCCCAAUACCAGAUUUGCAGUAAGUAGGGGAAGUUCCUCCUCACAGCUUCACAGGGAUUCCUUUUCCAUUUCAGCACAUGUGUUGGGAUUAAACAGUGCAGCCGGUCUUCUGAGCUGCUUUGCGGUCCUGCACCGCUUAACUGCUUAACUCAGGGACAUGUGGGUUUUGGAGGGAAGUUGUGGUCAAACCGAAAUCCCCAAUAUGACUGUACAAGAGUUAGAAGCCCUCCUUGGAAAGCCCAAGGAGACCCCAUCCAUCCCAGCUGGGAAAAUUAAAGGCGAGGCUUUAAACCCUUCUUUCAACACCAAGCCAUAGCUCAUUUCAUCGGCUACAGGGAGAAGAAACUGAAGAAACAAGAUUAAAAAGAAGACAGAAAAAAAAAAAAAAAAAAAAAAAAAAAAAAAAAAAAAAAAAAAAAGCCUAACAGCUCAUCUCCCUUACCAACAAGGCUUCCCUCAGAAAGAGAAAAAAGAGUGGCAUUUGUAUACACAUGAAAAACUUCUCAGCCAGGACCUCAGUGAAUUACUACUGGCUCCAUAUCUCAGUGGGCAGCUCAAGUGGAAGCAUUUCUAGCUUGUGUCUGACUCCCUAGGAUGUGGAGCACAUCUGGGGGCAGCUGGAGAGAGGGGUCGGGACUCACCCAUGAGCAGACGUCACUGUGGGGUAAAAAUAAGCCACGUUCUAACUCUUAUCAGCAAGGAGGGGAAAGGCAAUUCCAAAGUGUGUGCAUGUGUGUGUGUGUGUGUGUGUGUGUGGAAGGAUGGCAUGUAAAGAACAGACAGCAGUUACUAAGACAUUUGUUCAGUUCUCAAGAAGCUUCAGUUAGAAGAAAAGGAAGUGGUAUGAACUUUUCACCUUUUAUCUGAAUUUUCUGAGGAGGAGUUCUGUAGGAUUUUAAGAGUCUUAGAACAGGACACAAGAUUAGCGGUCACUGACUGCACCAUGCUCUCCUUGGGGAUCUAUUUGGCCUUCACAAGAACAGCAUAAAGAGUCAUAAAUGGGAACACCAGCUCAGCAGCAGUCAAGCUGACCAGUACUCAGGAGGAGCCGCUUUCGAUCCCUGGCCUUGCUCAGUGGGUUAAGGAUCCCACAUUGUCAUAAGCUGUGGUGCAGGUCAGCAGCUGCAGCUGCAAUUCAGCCCCUGGCCUGGGAACCUCCCUAUGCCGUGUGUGCAGCCCUGAAAAGACACCCCCCCCCCAAAAAAAAGAAAAAGGUCAUAAAUGGCUGGAGUUCCCUGGUGGCUCAGGGGGCUAAGGAUCUGGCAUUGUCACUGCUGUGGCUUGGGUUACUGCUGUGGCACAGGUUUGAU